rnacentral:ncRNA from 1 species
AAACUGAAGAGUUUGAUCAUGGCUCAGAUUGAACGCUGGCGGCAGGCUUAACACAUGCAAGUCGAGCGGUAACAGGGGAGCUUGCUCCUGCUGACGAGCGGCGGACGGGUGAGUAACGCGUAGGAAUCUGCCUAGUAGAGGGGGACAACAUGUGGAAACGCAUGCUAAUACCGCAUACGCCUUUAGGGGGAAAGGAGGGGAUCACUUGUGACCUUCCGCUAUUAGAUGAGCCUGCGUAAGAUUAGCUAGUUGGUGGGGUAAAGGCCUACCAAGGCGACGAUCUUUAGCUGGUCUGAGAGGAUGACCAGCCACACUGGGACUGAGACACGGCCCAGACUCCUACGGGAGGCAGCAGUGGGGAAUAUUGGACAAUGGGGGGAACCCUGAUCCAGCCAUGCCGCGUGUGUGAAGAAGGCCUUAGGGUUGUAAAGCACUUUCAGGAGUGAGGAAGGGUGCUUGGUUAAUACCCAAGUAUUUUGACGUUAGCUCCAGAAGAAGCACCGGCUAAC